GUAACCUUUGAGUCAGUGGAUUACAAAGAGGACGAGCGCUCAAAUCAUGUCAUUCGGAGUUUCAUCACAUCAUCGGUGCGGCUUUUUUA
rnacentral:sRNA from 1 species